rfam:Ictidomys tridecemlineatus contig007879, whole genome shotgun sequence.
GGAGGUGUAGCUUAGUGGUAGAGUACUUGCCUAGCAUUCCCAAGCCCCUGGUUUCAGUCCCCAGCACCUCCA